rnacentral:lncRNA from 1 species
AGACAUCUGCAUACAACGACGAAAUCGUGAAUGGACCCUUAAAGUCGAAUGUCAUCGCAUCAGUAGAAGACGUCGGCGAAAAUGUACUAUUCCUAUAAAAUUAUAAUCCUAUCUUGUUGCUAUUUACUAUUGAACUAGUUAUCAGACACAAAAGAGCUUUUUUGCAUCGUGCUUGAUAGAUUUAACAAUUGAAGGAUUUUCUGGAAGUUCAGAACAGGAGAGUAAAUACAAUUUUAGACCUAAGCAGGAGCAGUUACGAAAAAGGCAGCAAAAGAAAAUGCCCCUUACAGAAAUCGUGCGGCUCUGGGAUUUCGGAGUAGCGCUCAGAUUAGCUGUGGUAUACAUAGCUGGGGGUACAUACUCUAAUUAUCGAGAUCUCAGUUAGUUAGGGCCCUGCCCCUCAAUCGCCAGACCGCAGGUUCGAUUCCUGCCAGAGGGCAUAUUUCCUGUCAGUAGUUGCAUUUUUCGCUUCUGCUACUGGUUAUAGGUCUAAAAAUUGUACAGUAUAGAAUCUUCUACUCGAAAUUCCCAAGCAUCUACAAUUUAAAAUCCUUCAACUGCUUAUGAGGCAUUUGAUUAAGCUAUUGUUAUAAUUAAUUUGUAUAAAUUCAGUAGUGAAAAAUGGCUUUCAUGCAAGCGUUCUGAUAGGGUCCCUAAGCAGUCACUCUGAGGCAAUAGUUAUUGCCGAGACUGCCCUGAGUAGUAACUAUCGCUUUCAAAACAAAAUGGCUGCCGAAAAUCAACUAUAUGCAUUUCCUUUUUUUGUCUGCACGAGUAUACCUGUUUGUUAAAGCCAAAAUAUUGCACAGCAUCUCCCAUAAAUUCUAUCGCCAUUAGCCCUCGCCCCUUGAAUGCAAAGGAAUGAUAGCCAAAAAGGUUUAGCAAAGUAUUUUUUAUUAAUCUGAUAUAAAGUGUCCCUACGUUUUAUCAGAGGGAUAAAAGUAUAUACGAUAAACAUUAAAGUUGAUUUAAAUGUUGGUAACUCACAGCGGCAUUAUACAAGUCUAAAGAAGCUGGAUUUUUAAAGGACAUUGGCACCCAAAAUUUUUAUUACUUAUAUCUAUUAGGUAUACUUGCGGAAUAUCUAAUUUCAUAUUUUGGCCGGUUUGUCGCGUUUAGUUGUUGAGAAAAUUUGAUGAAAAGUUCAACAGUUGUCCGCCAUUUUGAAAAUAAGCGCGUAUGCUAAUUUAUGCCACAAAAUAUAUUAUCUGACGUCAUUUGCUGGGUAAACACAAUUUCAUGACUAUAAACAAUACCGAGUAUUGCCGCGCGUAGUGUAUUUUGAGCCGAAACAAAAGGCAGCAAAGUUUUACCAAGUAUGUAACUUGUUUGUAACACUAUUUCUCAUAGUAUAUAUCCUACUCCGUGUUAAAUAAACGCAGAAAUUCGAGUGUAACAAGACAAAUACUAAUGCAAUAUUUUAUGAUCAAUUACCUGUAUUGUAAAUUGNNNNNNNNNNNNNNNNNNNNUAUGUAACUUGUUUGUAACACUAUUUCUCAUAGUAUAUAUCCUACUCCGUGUUAAAUAAACGCAGAAAUUCGAGUGUAACAAGACAAAUACUAAUGCAAUAUUUUAUGAUCAAUUACCUGUAUUGUAAAUUGCGCCAUUCCUUGCUUUCCCAGUCGCUCGAUAUGUUUUUAUCUGAUAGUGUAGACUUAUCUUGUUUGAUUGCGAAGAGUGUUGGCCAGUAUAACGCUCAAAACGACAUAUUUUUGGCUAACAUAACACGCACGCAAUAGAAUUCUCUCUUGUAGUUUUGGUGCUACCCAUCCAAUGACGUCACAAAGUUCAUUGACCUUCGAGAUAAUUUUUCAAACAAUAUUUCCAAGAUGGCGGCGAAACACAAAGUUUGCAUGCAUUUUACUCGUAGACUAAAAUGUUUGAGAACGAAAUGACAAUAUUUUCAUAGUUAGGUCGUCAAGUAGGAUUGAAAUAGCCAAUAAAAAUUUUCGGUGCCAUUGUCCUUUAAGCUGGAUUAUUCUUCAAGUAAAGCCCUCAAUGACAAUGGGCAAUGCCAAUGCCAAUGAAAAGUCUUUAUAAGAUUUAUAAUGUACCCGCUGUAAAUUACGGUAAUACACGAAAUAUAAAAUAAUAUACUAUAAAGUACAAUACCAGUGUCUGGUGCAUAUAUCGUCCUAGAUAU